rnacentral:rRNA from 1 species
UACAUGCAAGUCGAACGAGUUCUGAUUAUUGAAAGGUGCUUGCAUCUUGAUUUAAUUUUGAACGAGUGGCGGACGGGUGAGUAACACGUGGGUAACCUGCCCUUAAGUGGGGGAUAACAUUUGGAAACAGAUGCUAAUACCGCAUAAAUCCAAGAACCGCAUGGUUCUUGGCUGAAAGAUGGCGCAAGCUAUCGCUUUUGGAUGGACCCGCGGCGUAUUAGCUAGUUGGUGAGGUAACGGCUCACCAAGGCAAUGAUACGUAGCCGAACUGAGAGGUUGAUCGGCCACAUUGGGACUGAGACACGGCCCAAACUCCUACGGGAGGCAGCAGUAGGGAAUCUUCCACAAUGGACGCAAGUCUGAUGGAGCAACGCCGCGUGAGUGAAGAAGGCUUUCGGGUCGUAAAACUCUGUUGUUGGAGAAGAAUGGUCGGCAGAGUAACUGUUGUCGGCGUGACGGUAUCCAACCAGAAAGCCACGGCUAACUACGUGCCAGCAGCCGCGGUAAUACGUAGGUGGCAAGCGUUAUCCGGAUUUAUUGGGCGUAAAGCGAGCGCAGGCGGUUUUUUAAGUCUGAUGUGAAAGCCCUCGGCUUAACCGAGGAAGUGCAUCGGAAACUGGGAAACUUGAGUGCAGAAGAGGACAGUGGAACUCCAUGUGUAGCGGUGAAAUGCGUAGAUAUAUGGAAGAACACCAGUGGCGAAGGCGGCUGUCUGGUCUGUAACUGACGCUGAGGCUCGAAAGCAUGGGUAGCGAACAGGAUUAGAUACCCUGGUAGUCCAUGCCGUAAACGAUGAAUGCUAGGUGUUGGAGGGUUUCCGCCCUUCAGUGCCGCAGCUAACGCAUUAAGCAUU